ensembl:lncRNA
CUUGAGGUCUCAUACUCAAGCCUCCACCAAUGAGACAGACCACUUCCUGUUGCAUGUGAGUCAAGAUGGAAGACCUCUUAGCUCCUUCUCCAGCACUGCCUCUGCCUGCAUUCUGCCUUGCUUCCUGCCAUGAUGAGAAUGGACUAAACCUCUGAACAGCAUUCCAACCAGAUACUCAGAACUUGCUUCACUGUCAUUCUUCUUUUGGAAAUCGCUGCCACCUCAAGCCUGCCUUCAAGACAGGAGGAAAAGGAGCUAAAUUUCAGUGGGCAGGGGCUUGUGAUACAGCCUGGUGGUAAAUAUGAUUUACGUGGAGAACAGUUGUUGACAAGGUGAAACGGAAGAAAGUGCACUCUCUUGGAAGUCGAACAAGUAAUGGUUUGAAUCCCAGAGAAAGGAGUGGGUGUGGCUGGGACAGGGACAAGGGCAGAAGGGUCUGGUGGCCAGCUACCAAAGGUGCUUGUGUGCUUGUGUGGGGCUUUCACAAGCCCACACUCCGUCCAUCUGUCCGUCCAUUGGGCUGUUUUCAUCAACGGCAGCCAUAGUGACUCUUGUCAACACACUUCCUACAAGAAGAUUGCCGAGAAGUUGCCACCGAGAAGUUGCCACCCUGGGGGGUCGUUGGGGACUGAGGCUUGUAGAGAACAAACCGAGUACGUCUUUGGCUGUCAUCCUUUAACACAGAGGUCAAUAUUUUCAGUUUUCACCUUUGCAAGCCUUGGGCAUAUGAAGCCCAGGAGUCUGGCUUGGUUUUCCUUCACAGCCCUCAAUCUCAGAAGCCAAGGGACUGGAGUGAUAGCUCAGCUGGCCUGAAAAGCAUGAGACCUGAAUUCGAUCCUCUGGAUUUCCUGUAAAGAUGCCAAGCUUGAUGGUGACUGUUGCUGUCAGCUUUGGUGGUAAAGGAAAACUGCCUGUUUGCACUUACUGCAGAGACUUUGUAAGUCUUCAAUCUCUGAGAACAACUGUCCUUAUUGUGACAUGGUAGCUCAAAGCUCAGCCAUAAAUGGGAGGAGACACUCCUAUAUCUGUAUAAACCCCUCCAAGGAUUGUGGAGCAAAGAGGAAGGAGGAAGGGGGUGUAAAGAAUGAGGGAGAGUGUUGUCUAUAUUUCUCAGAGUUGAAGCACUCUCUCCUGGAGGUGGGACAGAGACUCCUGGAAGCUAAGGAAGCUUACAAGGCUCAGCAAGCUCAUAGAAGCUGCUAGUGUCACAAGGCCCCUCCCUAAGGGUAUAAAAAGCAAUGCAUAACUGCUAAGGAGAGACCUUUGGCUGAACUGCCAAUAGGUUGGGAAGGGAACUCCAGAGAUGCAGCUUUUGGGUGUCAUCACCCAUACUGGGGUGGGCCUUUUAGUGAUGUAGCUGCUUUUGAGUCCACCCCUCCCCUGUGUUCCUGUAAGUAACCCCAAUAAACUUACUGAUUCAACAAGCUAGACUUGGCAGGGGUAAAGGAUCCUUUCUGUGGUCUGUGUCCUCUCUGGACUGAACAAACAUUUGUUCAUACUGUUUCAGGAAAAGUCACACUACAAGCUAAUCUUAAUAAAUCAAAAACCUUAAAAUUAGUCAGGCAGUGGUGGCAUACUCCUUUAAUUCCAGCACUUGGGAGGCAGAAUCAGGAGGAUCUCUGUGAGUUCAAGGCCAGUUUGCUCUACAAAGUGAGUUCCGGGACAGCCAGGGCUACACAGAGAAACCCUGUCUCUAAAAACUCAAAAAACAAAACAAAACAUAAAACCAAACAACAACAACAAAAACUUAAAAUUAAUAAAGAGGGGGCUAGGGAGAUGGCUCAGUGUUUAAGAGCACCAGCUGCUCUUUGAGAGGACCUGGGUUCAAUUCUUGGCACCCACAUGGCAACUCACCACUGUCUGUAACUUUAGCUCUAGGGGUUCCAACACCUUCACACAUGCAGGCAAAACACCAAGGCAGAUAAAAUAAAAAUAAAUAAAUCAUUUUUUAAAUUAAUAAAGAAAAUACCAACAAACCAAUAGUUCAUGGUUAUAUACAUGCACAUUGGAGGAAAAGAAAUAUAAUGAGCAAUUGGAGAGAUGGUUCAGUGGUGAAGCUCAUUGGCUGCUCUUCCAGAGGAUCCGGGAUCAAUUCCUAGCACCCCCAUGGAGGCUCACAACCAUCUAUAACUCUAUAGUUACAUGGGAUCUGAC